rnacentral:lncRNA from 1 species
UGUAACUAUUAUGGAUCGACUGCGCGCCGAAAACUGUAAAAAGCCUGGCCAAACUUCUGCUGUUAUCUUUCUGUCAUUUUGUUCUUAUUAUGUUAACAGCAGAAUCAAUAUGAUUUUUUUUACUGAAAGAACAGAAUACCGUAUAAAUAGCUCAAACGAAAUACUUUACGGAGUCAUUGCGAAUUAAGCUUGCAGUUAAGAUGUCGAAAUUUAGCUUACUUUUAAUAUUGGGUAUACUCAGCUUGGCAGUUAUACAAGUUACUGCUAAAAAUGUAGGAUGCAGGUCCAAAACUUUAUCUCUGCGGCGUGGGCAACAAUUCUGUCGUCGAAUUUGUGCGAAAACAGGUGUGAGAAGUCAGUGCAGAAAAGUUAACUUAUCCUCUCGGGUUAGCGUAUGCCCCGUGGGCUGCUGUCAACUUGGCGAUAGUUGUGUGUCGAUCAGAAAACGAAAGCUUUAAGAUAAUACGCCGUUCUUUAAAUUUGUUUCGUAUAUACAAAUAAUAAAUAUUUUUUGCAAUUUUAUGUAGUAUCUCUAAAAGAUAGAAACAUAAUAAAAUUUAUAUAAACUGUUUAACAGAAAGACUAUAUUUGGAAUGUAAUUUAACUGGGUGUUCUUGAAAUAUGUAUAAAUAUACGCUAACAAAUUAUUUACUCACACAAAAAAUGAUGCUAAGCUAAUUUUACAAUCUACGAUAUUGAGAACCUAGCCUGUCCUGCUGUCGUUAGCAUUCAGUCAUUUUGUUCUUAUUAUGCCAACGACCAGCAAAAUCAAUAUAAUUCUUUAACUGAAAGAAUGGAUUUUUGUAUAAAUAGCUCAAGCGAAAGGCUUAACAGAAUCAUUCCGAAUUAAGCUCGUAUAAAUAAGAUGUCGAAAUUUUGCUUACUUUUAUUAUUAAGUAUACUCAGCUUGGCAGUUAUACAAGCUCAAAAUGCAGGAUGCAGACCAAACAAUUUAUCACUGCGAGCUGGACAGCGAGUUUGUCACCGAAUUUGUGUAAAAGAUAGUGUACAGAAUCGGUGCGAAAUAGUCAAAAAAUAUACACGAAUGAGAGUAUGCCCAUUGAGUUGCUGUCAACUUGGCAAUAAGUGUGUGUCGCUCAGAAGUCGGAAGUUUUGAGGAGCGUAGACAAUUUUUUUUAGUGUAUUGCAUGUACUAAAAUAAAUAAAACGCUCAAAUUUGGUCAAACUG